CUGAAGUCCCCUGCCGCCACCAUGCCCAAAAGAAAGGCUGAAGGGGAUGCUAAAGGAGACAAAACCAAUGUGAAGGAGGAGCCACAGAGAAGAUCUGCAAGGUUGUCUGCUAAACCUGCACCUCCAAAGCCAGAGCCCAAACCUAAAAAGGCCCCUGCAGAGAAGGGAGAGAAGGUACUGAAGGGGAAGAAGGGGAAAGCUGGACCUGGUAAGGAUGUGAAUAAUCCUGCAGAAAAUGGAGAUGCCAAAACAGAUCAGGCACAGAAAGCUGAAGGUGCAGGAGAUGCCAAGUGACGUGUGUGUGCAUUUUUGUUAACUGUGUACUUCUGGUGACUGUACAGUUUGAAAUACUAUUUUUUAUCAAGUUUUAUAAAAAUGCAGAAUUUCGUUUUACUUUUUUUUUUUUUUAAUGCUAUAUUGUUAGCACACAAAACACUUCAUUACUGGGUGGGGGAAGGAUCAUGUGUCAAUAACAAAAUCGCUCCCAAGCAGGAUUGAGGGCAGAAAUCCUCUUUCCUUGAUAAUUUUGAAAGGCUCCUGUUGUCUCCCAGGAGAUAUAUCCUGGUCUUGACCUAGGUGGCCACCAAGGCACAAUAAUGCCUUGUGGUCUGGGAAAACUAUAAAUUCAUUUUUAUAUCCUCUUCCCCCUGUACUGUCAACAUAGAAUUAAUUCCCUUAAAAACCAGAGACCUGUUGGAACCUGGCCCCCAAAAUUGGUUUCCCAGUCUA